AACGCACAUUGCGCCCAUUAGUAUUCUAGUGGGCAUGCCUGUUCGAGCGUCAUUUCAACCCUUAAGCUUAGCUUAGUGUUGGGAUUCUACAGAACGGUAACUUGUUACCAUGUAGUUCCUAAAAUGAAACGGCGGAUCUGCAGUAUCCUCUGAGCGUAGUAAAUUUUUAUCUCGCUUUUGACAGGUUCUGUGGUUCUUGCCGCUAAACCCCCAAUUUUUAAUGGUUGACCUCGGAUCAGGUAGGAAUACCCGCUGAACUUAA
rnacentral:misc_RNA from 1 species